UACGUAGGGGGCGAGCGUUGUCCGGAUUUAUUGGGCGUAAAGAGCGUGUAGGCGGUUCGGUAAGUCUGUCGUGAAAUCCUGGGGCUCAACCUCGGGCGUGCGAUGGAUACUGCCGGGCUAGAGGGUGGUAGAGGCGAGUGGAAUUCCCGGUGUAGCGGUGAAAUGCGCAGAUAUCGGGAGGAACACCAGUAGCGAAGGCGGCUCGCUGGGCCACACCUGACGCUGAGACGCGAAAGCUAGGGGAGCGAACAGG
rnacentral:rRNA from 1 species